UAUUACCCACACUGCAUGUCGUCUGCAUAAUGGUCUUGGGCUCUGUACAAUGGAAUUGCAUUACCUUAAACGUUUGGACAUGAGCGAGGAGGAAAAUCAAUAGCCAGUUGCCGGACUCGCCUGUGUGCUAAACAGGCAGUAGUAGAUGAGAAUCAAAUUUUCUUAAUUUGAUAUAAACAGCGAGAGGUUCGAGUGAGCACUGUUUCGGCCAGCUCUUUAACAAGGCUGAACGAGCUCCAAGCCGCGGGAUUCUAGCUUCAGAAGCGUGCCUCCCGCUAUCAUCUCGCUGUAUAUCGAAGAUCGUGCUCUGAACACACGGCCCCCUCAUCUUGCCCGCCCGACACCCCGGGGAGAAUAUAGGAUAGUACUCCUCCACGGAAUCUACAGGUGAUGACCAAAUAGAAGUCAUAUUGGAUACUUGUAGAUAUGGAUCUCAGUGAAUAAGAUUUGACCUACAGUGCCAGAAUUGAACACGCGGGAAUGGAUACGUUUUGACAUUGGAGCAAGAGCAUUUCAUAAAACUUGUGAGGUCAGGCGAGAGGAUUCGUUCGGAAGCAGACGACAGAAGUGGGAAUGCGAGCAGCGGUGGAAUUUGUAAAUACAGCGAUGUUGUGUCGGCCGCGGCUUGGUGCUUGUACAGGGGACUUCUAGCCGGUUCUACUUCAGUUGGUGUGCUCACAUCAGUGCUGUGCCACAAAAUGUUGCAGAUUCCAUUUUGGAGGGCCCAGCGGUCUCUGUGCAUUGCCUUACAGCUCGUCAUAUUCCAGAGUUUCAAUGUGCUUUCUGUGCUGGGGGUAGGAGGCCUCUGCUCUAAAGCUGUCGA